rnacentral:rRNA from 1 species
UACGAAGGGGGCUAGCGUUGCUCGGAAUCACUGGGCGUAAAGCGCACGUAGGCGGCUUUCUAAGUCAGGGGUGAAAUCCUGGAGCUCAACUCCAGAACUGGCCUUUGAUACUGGAGAGCUAGAGUCCGGAAGAGGUGAGUGGAACUGCGAGUGUAGAGGUGAAAUUCGUAGAUAUUCGGAAGAACACCAGUGGCGAAGGCGGCUCACUGGCCCGGUACUGACGCUGAGGUGCGAAAGCGUGGGGAGCAAACAGG